UGCGCCAUAUUUAUCGUCGUAUAUAUACUAGAUGCAUUUCCGGUAGAGAACAUUAUUAAAGCAAGUAUCUUAAUAAUAACAGCAAAAUGAUGAAAGCAUUGCUUUUUCUUUGUUUCAUUGUUUUAUUCUGCACCGCUCUUGCAUUACCACUUGAUCCAGCAGGGGACUUCGUCAAAUCCGCUCUCGACCCUCCCAGUGUAGUAAAAGAUGUUCCUGGUCUUGGAUCCAUCGACAAGUUGACAAAACCCCUAGGAUCGGCUAUAUAAGAGACGGAAAACAUGCAACGUCCAACAUUUAUCCAGAAACGUGACAUGCUUAAUUAGAAAUAUAUAUCUUGAAUUUGA